rnacentral:rRNA from 1 species
CCUACGGGUGGCUGCAGUGAGGAAUAUUGGUCAAUGGGCGCGAGCCUGAACCAGCCAAGUAGCGUGAAGGAUGACGGCCCUACGGGUUGUAAACUUCUUUUAUAAAGGAAUAAAGUGAGGCACGUGUGACUGUUUGAAUGUACUUUAUGAAUAAGGAUCGGCUAACUCCGUGCCAGCAGCCGCGGUAAUACGGAGGAUCCGAGCGUUAUCCGGAUUUAUUGGGGUUAAAGGGAGCGUAGAUGGGUUGUUAAGUCAGUGGUGAAAGGUUGCGGCUCAAACCUAAAAUUGCCAUUGAUACUGGCAGCUUUGAGUACAGUUGAGGUAGGCGGAAUGCGUGGUGUAGCGGUGAAAUGCUUAGAUAUCACGAAGAACACCGAUUGCGAAGGCAGCUUACUAAACUGCCACUGACGUUGAUGCUCGAAAGUGUGGGUAUCAAACAGGAUUAGAUACCCGGGUAGUC